rnacentral:lncRNA from 1 species
AAAGCGAGCGCCCCCGCCCUCGGCGCUGUGGACUGAGCUUGACCCCGGCCGCGGACGGGGGCGUGGCCGUAGAGGGGGCGUGGUUGAAGGAUGGAGGCGGGUCCUGGGGCUGUCAGUCGGCGCCCGCCGCCGCCGCUGCUCGCACGCCGGGCCUCGGAAGCCACCUCAGCCGAGCGCGCAGGAUCUCAGGCUCAUAAACACCACCACAGCCAUCCAUCCGGGAGUCAGCCUGAGUCUUCACUCUCUUGUAACCCCACAUUUAGACAAUAGCCAGUCUUGUAUCUGACUACUUCUCUUCACAAUUCUUAGCACAGCCCAAGCACUGCCUUCUGCCUGGACUAUUGCCUUAGAAUCCUAAUUGACCUCUACAUGUCCCCAGAGAGUCUAUUCUCUAUAUAUAUGUUAGAGUAGUGUUUAAGAACAUGUAUCAGAUCAUGUUAUGUUCCUGCUCAAAAUGAAUGCUUGUUUUCUUAAACAACAACAACAACAACAACAACAACAACAACAACAACAACAACAACAACAAAACCCACAAAAAACGAAAACAGUCAAUGUUCUCCUAACAUGCUUGGAUGACCUAAAUCAUUAACAUAGUCACAAUAACCCAUCUAAUCCAACCCUGUUUGAGUUCUUAAAUCAUCUUCUGUUUUUCUUCUUUGCUUUGCUAUAGUGACACCACACCACCUUUGCUCAUCCUAAAAUGUGAGCCUGUCUCUGCCUGGGGACUGUGUGCUUUUUUCUUCUGUCUUUUAGUUAUUUAUGUCAUUUAAGGCUCUGGUUAGAUUAAACUUUCUCAAAGUGGCCUUCUCUGUUCUUCUAUCUCCAACUGUCCUUUUCUUCUUCGAUACUCUGUAGGCCCUUACCCUGCUCUACUGUUCAGAGCAUCUAUUACAACUUUGUCGGGUCUCCUUACUAAUGAAAGUGUCAUAAAGCAAGAAUAUUGUCUUAUUUAACAUUCUACCACUGGGCUACUGCUUGGAUCAUAGUUUGAGCCAAUGCAUUUUUUUGAAUGAGGAAGAGCAUGAUAUCAUUUUAUAAGAGGUUUAUUAUCCAGUGAAUGGCUCUGAGGAAGUGGGUUGGACUUUAAGAAGAUGUACUCUUAAUUACAAGAUGAGUUUGGGGCUGACACAUUUGACAAAACUAUUUAGAUGGAAUAAACUAAUUCUUUGAAAAAGCAGUAUGUCAAAACUAACACACAAAGAAGUAGAAAGAAUGAAUAGUAAUAUUAAAGAACUUACUUCAUUCUUAAAGAUGAAGCCUUCCCAGCAAGCAUCAGAUAGACAAAUAUACAGACAGGCUGCUGGUGACCACCCUGUGAUGUCAUCUAGACUUUGGAAAGAAAGAAUAGCAUCAGUUUUAUGUUCUCUUCCAGAGAGUAAACUGAUAGGGAAUAUUUUACUGCCCAUUCUCUCAAACAAACAGACAGACAGACAAACAAACUCCACUCUAAAACCUGGAGAGAAUGUUACAGCAAAAGGAAAUUGAAGGGGUCAGCGAAAUGGCUCAGUGGUCAACAGUGCUUGUUGCUCUUACAGAGGAGUUCAGUUCUACAUCAGACAUUUCAUAAGGGCCUGUAAUCCAGCUCCAGGGUCUCUCUCUUGUGCUCUCUGAACUCUUCAGGUACCUGCCCGUGCGUGUGUGUGUGUGUGCGCGCACACACACACACACACACACACACACAAACACACACGCACACAGAGCUUUUUUUCUUUUUUCAGAAAAGAAGAAAAUGAAAGAUCAAACUUUCAUGGACCUGUAUAUACAAAUCUUAAAAUAUAAUCAAGUGAAUUCAGCAUAUAUAAAAGGCUAGUAGAUUAUAGCUAAGGGGGUAAGUCUCAGAAAUUCAGAAAUAGUUUAAUACUUGAAAACAAAUCAAGGUAAUUUCCUCUAGUUAUAGAAUACAGUAGAAGAAUACAAUCAUCUCAAUAGAUGUAAAAAGAUUUGAUGUAAUUCAAUAUUAUUCAAGAUUUUGUCUGAACCAAGGAAGUUGCUUAAUCUGAUAAUGGGUACCUAAAAAUAAGCACCCUGUCAGUGGGGAUGAUUUAAAUAUUGAAAAUUCUUCCUCUGAGAUGUCUGAUAGCCCCAUUUCUAUUGAACAAUGCACUUGAAAUUAGAGUCACUGUCCCAAGACCAGACAAAAAAUAAAGGCCCAGGGAUUGGAAAACUCAUUAAAGAGAGACAACAUGAUUGUGUACAUAGAAAACCGAAAGACCCUGUAGAUAAAUGAUGGAAAUUAAUGUAAGUUUAGCAAGGGUGCUGGGUGCAGGUCAAUUUGUAACGACAAAUUGCACUGUGCCAGCCUUACUGACACAUGCUCAAGAGGCUGGAGCAGGAGAGCCACUUGACCCUGAGGUUUCAAGGCCAGUUUGGGUAGCAUAGCAAGACUCUUUCUCAAAAAAAAACACAACAAAAACAAAAACAAAAACAAACAACAACAACAACAACAACAACAACAACAACAACACCCCCCCAAAAAACAGAAAUGCAAGAAACCAACUGUGAAGGGCAAGAGAGAUGCCUUAGCAGUUAAGAACACUGACCACUCUUCUAGAAGACCCAAGUUUAAUUCUCAGCAUCUGCAUGGUGGCUCAACUUUCUGUACCUCCAGUUCCAGGGGACUCAGCACCCUUUUCUGGCCUGUGCAGGCACUGCAUACAUGUGGUACACAGACUUAUUUGCAGGCAAAACAUCUGAACACACAAAAUAAAAAUAAACAUUUAAAAGAACUAAUUGUACACUCACACAUAAUAAUGACAAAAAUAAAAUGAACUUUAAAAUAUACCAUCUAAAAGAACCAAAAAACCCAUCCAAUUCAUGGGAAUAUGUGUAGUAAAGAUGGGUAAGAUCUCUGUGCCUUGAAGAAGUAAGUUACGGCAAGUGGGGGCCUUGAGUCUUUAUAGCCUGAACUCAUUUCCUGUCUGCUCUCUGGUUCUUGACUAUGAUGAAGCAGCCAUGUGUUCAGCUGCUUCAUCACCCUGCUAUGCCUUUCUCUCCAUGAUAGACUGUAUCACUUCAGACUGUAAGCCAAAAUAAAUUCUUCUGACCAGAACUUGCUUCCUGUUAAGUAUUUUGUCACAGCAACAAGAACAUGUUCAAGACGGGUACCAAGGAAUAGGGCAGAUGCUAUGAUCAAUCAAUCUGAACUUUUGAACAGUAUUGGGAUUGUUAAAGACUAUGGGGACUUAUGCAUGUUGUAUCAUGAGAUGGCUUUGUUCUGUGGUGGUCAGGGUCAGAAUGUUAUGUUUUGAGUGUGAAAUGUGCUGCACAGGCUCAUCUGUCUGAACACUUGGUUCCCAACUGGUGGCAAUG